UGCCCCUCAGGGUCGCACCUGGAGAGUUUCCAGUACUCUACCGGUCUCGACUAUGGGAGGGAGAGUCAAACAGGGGUGUAUCCAUUCCAUUUCUAGCUUGUGCAGUGGCUAGAGAGUGGAAGGCAAAUCUGCUACAAGU